GACGAACGCUGGCGGCGUGCCUAACACAUGCAAGUCGAACGGACAGGCCCCUUUCGUGGUACUCGACUGGCGAACGGGUGCGUAACAGGUGAGUAACCUCCCCUUGACUUCGGGAUAACUUUAGGACACUGGGGCUAAUACCGGACACGAAUCCUCGCUGCAUGGUGGGGGUUGCAAAGCUCCGGCCGUUUUGGCUGGACUUGCGGCCUAUCACCGUGUUGGUGGGGUUGUGGCUUACCAAGGCCUUAGCGGGCAGCCCGACUGAGUGGGCGACCGGCCAUAGUGGGACUGAGAGGAGGCCCAGACCCGGAAGGGACGCAGCUGCGGGGAAGAUUGCACCAGGGGCGGAAGCCUGGUGCAGCAACGCCGCGGGCGGGAUAACGGCCUUCGGGUUGUAAACCGCUUUCAGCAGGGGCCAAGCUUGUGGUGACGGUACCUGCAGAAGAAGCACCGGCUAACUACGUG
rnacentral:rRNA from 1 species